rnacentral:miRNA from 1 species
AGAAGUAAUUGUGGUUUUGGUC